GUCAGGAUGGCCGAGCGGUCCAAGGCGCUGCGUUAAGGUCGCAGUCUCCUCUGGGGCCGCGGGUUCAAAUCCCACUUCUGACA
rnacentral:tRNA from 1 species